GCUGUUCUGUGUUUCGACCUCGCUUUGUUUUCUCCGGUUUCCGAUUCUCGCUCCUGUUUUUGGCUUUGUUGCUUUGUGUAUGAUUCUUCUACGGUUACGACCCUCGCCUGUUUUUUCGACUCCGUUUUCGCCUACUCCUAUGUGUUGUAUCUGGCUCUUCUGGUUUUUGACCUGGUCUGGUGUUAACCCUGUUUAUAUCCUUUUAAAUAAAUCUUCCGGGUUCGUUUUUUAUCCGCACGUGUCUGAUUUGUAAACCCAGCGUUACACUCUUUAAGAAUUUGUUACAAUAGGCUACAGUAAAUUAGUAAAUUUGUUGGAUGUAAGUUUCCAGCUCUGUCCUGUUUAACUAUGUUGGGGCAUCCAAAUUGUCACGCCUCGGGCGGAUUCGGACUACGUUUCCCAGAAGGACAUGGGAAAUCACGUGGAUGAGCAACUUCUCUCAGUCUCGGAGUCCAGAGCGGACUCCAUUUCCCAUAAUCCCUUGGGUGAUCACAUGACUCAUGACAAUUGUUCACGCACCUGUCAGUGUUCUCAAUCACCCGAGUAUUAACUAUGAACACCUGUGUUUUGAAAUCAUAUGACUCUUUGAGACUAGUAUAUCAGCCCGAGCUUUAGUUAGGGUCCUUGCGAGGUAUUGCUUCUUCUGAACAUACUGAGCUUUUUUCUGAUCUGUCUAUGUGUGCUUGUUUUGACCCACGUUUGUUAUACUGGCCUUGAUUUUUGCCUACUCCUUUUGUACCUCUGUUGAUUGUAUUUUUGGAUUUGUGUUUUGACCUUUUUGCCUGCCUUUUGACGAUAAUUUUGACUUUCCCCUUGGUUUUUGUCUGCCCUGUGUUAUGAUCACUUUGGUGAUCUUCUGCUGCCUUUUGGUUAAGACCCACGCUUGUUUUUCGACCACGCUUUUGUCACCUGAUAAUAAAACCCUGUUUGCAUUUUUCAUCCGCGAGCAUCUGAAUUCUGUUGCAUCGUCACACAAAAAAAAACUAUGUGAAAUUCAGUCUAAACACAUUCAUUUUUUGGAUGGACAUGAAAAACAAAACACAUGAAUCUAUAGCUUUUAUCAGGAUCAACUGAUGCAUCUACCAAAAUAUGUUCCACUGUUGCUGAGUUCACCCUGUAAAUAUCCUUUAGAUGGGUCUUUCUGAACUACUAUAAUUCCUAUGUUCAGGUUCUCUUGAACUCACAGAUGCUCCUCCUUCUUCCACAGAACUUACUACUGAACCAAGAACUGUUCCUCCUGAACCCUCAACUGAACCUCCUACUCCCACAUCAGCUCCUCCUUCCUGCAGGUGGAACUGUGGCUCUCACCUCGGCAGCUGUUCAUGCUCCAGCUCCUGUCAGUACUAUGGAAACUGCUGCCACGACUACCACGAUUACUGUUAUACAAGCACACCUACUCCUGACACCCCAACAGGUACAUCUUCUG